rnacentral:rRNA from 1 species
UACGUAGGGUCCAAGCGUUAUCCGGAAUCACUGGGCGUAAAGCGUGCGCAGGCGGUUCGUUAAGUCAGCUGUGAAAGCCCCGGGCUUAACCUGGGAAUGGCGGUUGAAACUGGCGAACUUGAAUCUGGCAGAGGGGGGUGGAAUUCCACGUGUAGCAGUGAAAUGCGUAGAGAUGUGGAGGAACACCGAUGGCGAAGGCAGCCCCCUGGGCUGAGAUUGACGCUCAGGCACGAAAGCGUGGGGAGCAAACAGG